rnacentral:rRNA from 1 species
UGAGGAAUUUUCCACAAUGGGCGAAAGCCUGAUGGAGCAAUGCCGCGUGCAGGAAGAAGGCCCUCGGGUCGUAAACUGCUUUUAUGAAGAAAAAUUAUGAUGGUACUUUAUGAAUAAGAGCCUGCUAACUACGUGCCAGCAGCCGCGGUAAUACGUAGGGCUCAAGCGUUAUCCGGAUUUAUUGGGCGUAAAGAGUGCGUAGGUGGAUUGGUAAGUCCAAUGUUAAAGACUUCAGCUUAACUGGAGGACAGCAUUGGAAACUGCUAAUCUCGAGAAUGGCAGAGGUAGAUGGAACUCUCGGUGUAGGGGUAAUAUCCGUAGAUAUCGAGAAGAACACCAAAGGCGAAGGCAGUCUACUGGGCCAUUUCUGACACUGAGGCACGAAAGCGUGGGUAGCGAACGGG